GAGGGAAUGUGGGGAUGCUGGAAAAGGCCUUGAUGAGAGUCCUGGGGAUGGAGCCCUGGCCGUGGCACUUAGCAGCCAUGAGAACUUGGUGAGAUGCAAAUAUGCGUUUUGAGCUGUUGGCUGGUUGCAGUUGACAGAUGGGAGGCUGAAGAAAUGAGGAAGUACAUCGUGGAGCUGGCGGCUCUGCAGGCAGGAGGGGUGAGUGGACACCCUAGAAAAAUGGGGCCAACAGCUGGGCGAGAUGGAAAGAAGAUUGGGCUCCAGGAAGAGGACUGGGAGAAGGGCCUGCCCCAGAGGUCCGUGACUCAGAGAAACUUGCCCUUUGUUGAUUCUCAUUGUGCUCCCAUCAAACUAUCAAAGAUGUUGAAGGACAGAGACCUGAACUCUGCCACUGGGCUCAGGAGGACACCACAGACACUGACUUGGCUUAUCAUUUUGUUUAGCGCCUUGAAAGGAGGUUGGUGAUGUAGAAGGUUGGAUGAUCCUUUGAGGAGAAAAAGAGCUGGAAAGCAAGAAACGUCAGAAAACACUCAGACGGGGAGGGGAUCAGUUGCAAGAGUAAAGUGGCCACGACGUGGAAGAACAGGAGACAGGAGGAAGGAGAGCUUGGUGCCUGCCGUGCACCCACAGUUUUCGGUGGACACAUCUUUAUUUUAUGUGGUGUUGAGGAUCGAACCCAGCGCCCCACGCAUGCCAGGUGAGCGCGUUACUGCUUGAGCCACAUCCUCAGCCCCAGAAUCCCGUUUUUAAAUGCACUUCAGAGGAUGGUGCUGUCCUCAGGUUGAGGACGGACUUUAAGAGCCUCUAGACCCAGGUGGGGAAUCUUGGUUCCCCUCUGCUGUGGUUUGGAUGUCAUCUGAGCUGUUUCCCAUCGGUCACAGGCUGGAGGCUUGGUCCCCGGUGUACUGGCAAUGGGCCAUGGGACCUUUACGACACCAUUAGACCUGGAGGGCACCAUCCCUGCAGGGACUCACGUGGUUCUUGUGUUCUUGUGGGAGCAGGUUAGUUCCUGUGAGAGUCGCCCCACCCCCACCCCCUCCCCGGCGCUCUUGUUUCUUCUCUCCCCAUGUGAAUUCCUCUUCUUUUACUUCCUGCACAUCCAUGAUGCCAUCUGCCACGUCAAGACACAGCCCCGGGAUCCUCUUCAGAGGCCACCAGAUGUGGCUGCCAAUCUUGGACUUUUAGCCUCCAACUGUGAGCUAAAAAACAAAACAAAAACCUUCUUUUCUUUAUAAGUCACCUGGCCUCAGAUAUUUUGUUGGUAUAGCAACAUGAAAUGAACUAAUCUCUCUAGGGGUCGGUUUAUGAAUGGGCAUGUGACACAGUUUUGGCCAAUGAGAUGAGAGGGGAAAUCUAAAAAGGGUCUAAUGGGAAAUUUUCCUUAGCUUUUGAAAGGCCAGGGGUGUGUUCCUUUUAUUUAUUUAUUUAUUUAUUUUAGAUUCUACUGUGCAUGUGUGAGGGCAAUGUCUGGAACUAUGGCAACCUGGUAGGGACCAUGAGAGGAGCCUACUCAAAAGGAGAAGCUAACACACUAAGGGUGGAUCCCAGCCAGGUCUGGUGGUGCACAACUGCAAUCUCAGCAACUGAGGAGGCUGAGGCAGGAGGAUCUCAAGUUUGAGGCCAGUGAGACUCUAUUUUAAAGUUAAAAAAAAUAAGAAGAGCUGGGGAUGUAGCUCAGUAGUAAUGUGCUCCCAGGUUCAAUCCACCCCCCCAUGCCAAAAAUUAUGGGUUCUUGGCUUUGGAGCUUGGCUUUCAUAUCAACCAACUCUGGAAGUAUUUCCCUUUUGAAUUUAUUAACUUAUUAACCAGAGAGAGGGAGAGGGAGGGUGUUUCAGUCAACCUUUUUGCUGCUGUGACUGAAACACCUAACAAGAACAACUUUAGAGGAAGAAAAGCUUAUCUAUGGGCUCAUGGUUUCAGAGAUCUAAGUCCACAGACAGCUGGCUCUAUUCCCUGGGGCUCGAGGUGAGGCUGAACAUCAUGGUAGAAAAGUAUGGAGAAGGGAGUAGUUCACAUGACGAUCAGAAAGCAGAAAGAGACUCCAUUCUCCAGAUACAAAAUGUAUGCCUCAGUGAUCCAUCUCCUCCAGCGACGCCUUACCCACCUUCCGUUACCACUUGGUUAAUCCCAUGAGGGAUCAGUUCACUGAUUAGGUCAAGGCUAUAAUCCAAUCAUUUCUUCUCUUGCAUUGUCUCACACAUGAGCUUUUCGGGGACACCUCACAUCCAAACCAUAACAGAGGGAGGGAGAGGGAGAGACAGAGAAAGAGAGAGAGAGAAGGAAAGAAAGAACAAGAGACUGGGCUAAGAGAUACACAAGGUGAGCCUGCAGCAUCUUGUGGUGCCAGAAACCAAAGAAGUGCUUAAAAAAACCCACAAAAACAACAACAAGUAAAUCCCCACGAUGGUGUGGGUGCGUCAGAGGGAUACAGGAAUCUGUGGGAAGAGCACCUAAAAGCCAAAACUAGAAUAGUUUGAGCAGCAAAAUUAUUGAGGAGAUGGUAUUGGACAGGUGAGAUUCAAGAUGGCAGAUCAGAGGCAACCAGCCCUGAGAUAGAACCAAAGAAACAGGUGUUAGCUGUCUGUGAGGAGCACUGGGAUUAACAGGAGGAAGAAAGUGACCUGGAGAAACCCAGGGAUUUGGAGUCAUGGGGUAGUGGAAGGACUGACUGCAGGCCUCAUGGCUGGGGAGGGAGAAUCUCAUCUGGUGCAGUGUGGGUGAAGAGGGGGGGUCCCAGCGAGCCUCCCCAGCGUGGGAUUCAGUACCUGGUGGACAUGCCGUCUAAACAGCCCAGACGCAUGGGAACUGCAAAGUGAACUGGCUCAGGGACCUUUCUCUGUCCAUUCUAGUACCUUCUCCCAGAGCCAUGGCAGGCAGUGGUGUUGACUAGUGUCCUGUGGCCUGAGCCCUCUCCUCUGGGGGGUGAGGAACCCUUGCAUUUUCCUGUCUCAGACUCUGCAGAAGUUUCACUGCAAUGGCUUAGUGGGUGGCCACCUGGUGAGUCCGUGACACCUUGGCAAUCCUGCUGGGGUUCUCUGUGAUGGGAAGCUGGACUGUGAAGGAGAAGGGAGCAGAAGGCACUUCCCUUUAAAAUCAGACGUCCAGGAAACCAGCUGUCCGAGUCUGCGGGAGUGAACAAUGGCAUGGGACUUCGCAGUGGGAGCCGAGUCUGGGAACACCAGGGCUGUGGGAGGAGAUUGCUCAGGACUCGAUGCCCCCCGCACCCACCCCCAUCUCCCAGCACAGAUCUCUGGGGCUCCAUCCCUCUCUUCACUCCUGGGAGUGACCUAGGCCCCACAGAGCUAGCACUUGCCCUGUACUUGGAAUGCACAGCCCACAAAGAUAGGGAGGAAAUCUUUGCUCGGCAUUCUGCACCUUGUUCUAAGGCACAAUCAACAGGAAUCCCAGCUAGCUUCAGCCACAGAUCACUCUAGCUCGUCACUUGGUGAGCACCACAUUGUAAAGAAUCAGGGUGAAUAGCCCCUAGCCUCUGCUCUCUGUGGGGUGCACAGCCUGAGAAAUCGGGAGAGAGGUUUUAAUUGCUCUGGGCUGUGAUCAUCCACUCUCCUUUCCAUCAUUUGGGUGUCCUGAUAGAGAGAACAUUUUUAUUUUUUUUUAUUUAUACAGUUUUAUUGUUGUUGCUUUCUAUUUUUUUCCUCUUUUUAGUCUUUCAUUUUCUUUUCUUUGUUCCCCCUCCCCUCAUUUGGCUUCUUUCCCUCCUCCUCCUCCUCCUCCUCCUCCUCCUCCUCCUUUUCUUCUUCUUUUUGAUGGGGGGCGUACUGGGGAUUGAACUCAGGGGCACUUGACCACUGAGCACAUCCCCAGCCCUAUUUUGUAUUUUAUUUAGAGACAGGGUCUCACUGAGUUGCUUAGGGCCCUGUUUUUGCUGAGCUGUGUUGAACUCUCGAUCCUCUUGACUCAGCCUCCACAGCUGAUGGGAUUACAGGCAUGCUGGCUUUUUUGUUUUCAUUUUAAAUUUUUAAGUCUUUUUAUAUUGUUCUUUCUUCUCCCUUUCUCUCUCCUCUCUCUCCCUCCACGGUGCUGGGGAUUGAGCCUGACCGCGUGCACUUUGGGCAGGUGCUCGGCACUGAUCUACAUUCCCAGCCCAGCCAAGAGGACCUGCGCCUGGCUUCAGUCCCUCUGGAACCUCUGUGGAUACCUCAACUUAAAAAAUAGGGGAAACAAAAGCCACCAGUCAAAGACCUAUUCCCAGAUGGAAACCGCCAGGGAGCUCGGUCACCCACUCCUGGACAGUCAUUCUCCCAGUGACAGCAAAGAGCAAUGACACAGGUGCUGUGAAAACUGCCUGGGCCACGCCCACACACUGUCAGAUCACCUGUCAAUGACAAGAUGAGGCGUGAGCACUACACAGGGGGAGUGGUGAUCCCGGCCCCCACCUCACCACCCGAAGCACCAGGAACGGUGUCAGUGUCAAAACAGACAACAGCACUUCUGGCCCCUUACCACCAGCCGGACAGUCAGUGUCAGAAUUGUUUUCAAGUAACGGCCAAUACCAACAGGGCCUGUGGAAAGUCCCCAUCCCUGGACAGGGGCUUCCACUCCCAUUGUGGACAGCACCCCACAUACUCUACUGUCCACAGCACAUCUCCUUCCAUUACUGAAACGACUCCACUCUUAGAAAACCACAGAGAAGGUGGGUCACUCAGGUUCUGAGAUGGUUUACAUUAUGUCAAACUCACAAAUCUCAGCCACAGGGGGAUUCCUCUAUGAAGUCCGAUUGGAACUGAACUCAGUACUACACCACAAACUGGCACCUCAAGACCUGUCAUCAGGAGAAGUUUGCUUGUGUGAGGCCUCACACAAAAGUUGAAGAGAUAGCCGUCUCAGCAGGUGCUCCAAUCUCAACACAGAGGCACAAGGAACAUGAAAAAACAAUGCAGUUUGACACCUUCCAAAAGUUCAUAAUUCUGCAGUAAGAGAACCCAAAGAUAUGGGACAGGAUGAAAUGCUGAAUAAAUAGCUCAUGAAGGGUGGUUUUUAAAAAAAAAGCUCGAUGAAUUCCAAGAGAAUACAUAUAAACAUGUAUUAAGAAAGACAAUUCAAGAUAUGAAUGAGAAAUCCAGUAAGUCCAAUAAGAGAUAGACAAUUUGAAAAAGAAUCAGACAAAUGUCUCGGAAAUGAAAAGUUCAGUAAGACAGAUUUAAAAACUCAGUUGAAAUUCUCACCAUCAGACUAGCUCAAGUAGAAGAAAAAUAUCAUAGUUUGAAGACAACUCUGAUGAAAUAUUACAUUUAGCCAGAAAAAAAAGGAUGAACAGAGUAUAUGAGAUUUUGGACAUCAUUAAAAGAUGAAGCAUACAUAUUAUUGAGAUGCCUGGGGAGACCUCUAGGCUGAAGGCAUAGAAAACCUAUUCAAUGAAAUAAUAGCAGAAAAUUUCCUGAAUCUUGGGAAAGUCAUGGACAUUUAAGUACAGGAAGUGUUAAGAAUUCUAAAUAGACAUGAAUAGAAAAGAAACUCUCUAUGACAUAUUAUAGUUAAAUUGCCAAUAUUAAAGUACAAAGAAAGAAUAUUAAAAACCGCAAUACAGAAAUGCAAAGUCACCUUUAAGACAAAUCCAUUAGACUAAAAACAUAUUUCUAAGCAGAAAUCGUAAAGGCCAGGAGGAUGUGGAACAAUGUAGUUCAAGUCUUGAAAGAAAAUAACUGCCAAACAAGAUUGCUAUACCCAUAACUUUCAGAAUCAAAUAAGAAAUAAAGACCUUCAAGGUAAGCAUAAACUAAGGGAAUUCAUGACUACAACAGCAUCAAGAAGAUAUUUAAGGGACUGUUACCCCAGAAGACAAAGAAAGAUAAAUACAAGAGAGGCACAUGAAAGAAUAAAUCUUACUGGAAGAGAAGACAUACAAAUAAAUAGGAAAAAAUUAAACAUUAUCAAUACAGUAAACCAUCAAACUUCUAUGCUGAGUAAGAGAGUAAGAAAUGAACAUAGAAUAUUCAAAACAACCAGAAGAAAAUCAACAAAAUGACAGGAACAAAUAAAAAUAACAACUCACAUUAACAGAAUCCAUAUUAACAGAAUAGAUAAAAAAGAAAUUUUAAAAAGGAGACCAUAUAAUCAUGUCAAUAGAUACAGAACAAGCAUAUUGCAAAAUUCAACUUCCAAAUUUCUAACAGAAACUCUCAGCAGCCCAGAAAUAGAAGAAAAUUCUACCAACCUGAUGAAGGGCAUCUAUGGAACCCAUAACUGACAUCUUAUAUAUUGAGGAACGUAGAACGCUUGACUCUGAAUAUCUGGUACACAAUAAGGGUUCAUGCCAUUCUAUCAAACAUUAUACUGGAGUUUCUAGCCAGAAAAAUAAUGCAGGAAAGAAAGAAAUCUCAUCUACAUUAUUCAGUAAGAAGUAAAUCUGACUUUAUUUGCAGAUGACAUGUCAUCUGAAUAAAAUUCUAUGGAAUCUAUAGGAAAGAUUCUGAAACCAAUGAAUGAGGUUAACAUGGUUGCAGGAUAUAAGAUUAAUAUACAAAAGCUAAUAGCAUUUCCACAUAUUAUCUACAAACAGAUAUUGAAAACUUUAGAAUAUACAAUUUACAAUAUUGAAUUUGGAAGAUACAAUUAUACAACUUUGGAAUAUACAAUUUACAACACUUGAAGUUGUAAAAAACCUGACACUGAAAACCAUAUAACAUUGCCCAAAUAGAUUAGAGACCUAAAUAAAUAGGGAGAUAUAUCAUGUUUAUGGGUUGAAAGACUUAAUGUUGUUAGGAUGUUAAUUAUCUCCAAAUUAAUCUACAGUUAUAAUGCAAUUUCAAUCAAAAUCACAGCAGGAUUCUUUUGGGAUAGAAACUACUAAACUUUUAAUUUCUAAAAUUCAUAUGCAGGGGCUGGGGAUGUGGCUCAAGCGGUAGCGCGCUCGCCCGGCAUGCGUGCGGCCCGGGUUCGAUCCUCAGCACCACAUACCAACAAAGAUGUUGUGUCCGCCGAGAAUUGAAAAAUAAAUAUUAAAAAAAAAAUUCUUAAAAAAAAAAAUAAAAUAAAAUUCAUAUGCAAAUGCAAAGAACCCAGAAUGACUUUGAAAAAUAAGAGGGAAGCUGGAGAACUUAUACCAACUGACUUCAAACUGAUUACAAAGUUACAGUAACCAAGACACAUUGUAGCAGUCCUACACAGACAGAUAAAUAGACUGGAAAGUCCAGAAAUAGGUCACUUAUAUAUAGACAGCUGAUAUUUGACAAAGGUACAAAGGCAAUUCAGUGAAGAAAAGAUAAGUUUUCUUCAUAGAUGGUGCUGGAAUAAUUGUACACCCACAUGCAAAAAUAUUAACUCUAAUCAACACCUUAUAUCAUGUACAAAAAUAACUGAAUGGAUCGCAGACCUAAAUGUAAAGUUAUAAACUUUCAGAAUAAAACAUAAGAGAAAAUUUGUAGUA